UACCCGCGCCGGGGAGGAAGUUUCUGCCGGUAGGGAUUAUGCGCAGUUUCCUCAGCCCGGGAGCUUCGGCCUUGUCCCCUCCCACUGCCGAAAAAGCAGUGAUUCCACAAAAUGAGCAGGAGGGGGAAAGCAGAGCGCCGCAAACUUAAACCUGCUCUUCUCGCCACCAGGCAGUGCCCGGAGGUUUUUUCCGCUCUCUUUCUUUAUAUAUUUAUUUAUUUACUCUCAAGCUCUGCUUGAGAUCGCAUCACACUACAUUUUCAGUAGGAAACGACAAACGUUUCGGCCAUGUUCGCAGCACCGUGGUACAGAAGUGCAUUGUAUUGGGACCCGAGUAAGGAAGGAGGGAGCGAGGGAGGAGGAGGAGGAGGAGGAGGGUGCUGGAGAAGCACACAGCUGCACGGCACACAGAAGCCGGUUUCCCAACCCUGACAGCAAGGGAGUGAGUGAACAAGGGGCCUCGCUUCAGCAGCUCCGUCCAGGAGAGAGAUUUCCUUUCUUUCUUUCUCUCUUUUUUUUUGUUUGUUUUUUGUUUGUUUGUUUUUUUAAAUGCUCCAAAAUGCAGAAUGGAUCAGGACGAGAAAGAGGAUUUUUUUUCUCUUCUCCAUGGUUGGCUACUCUUAACCACUACAUGUGAUGAGCAUCAGCGUAUGAGUCAAGUCCGCAGUUGUUCUACGUCAGGAAUAGAAAGUUAAGAAGUCACCUUGUUUAGCAUUCAGGUUUGGUCCACCUUAAGCACUGCGCUGCUGAAAAAUACGCAGUUUCUCCAGAUGCAAAGGAGCAUUCUCUCUGAAGUCUGUUCCCAGAAAUCAGAAAUCCAGAGCAACGUAAAGGCUUUUCCACUGCAACCAUGCAUAAGUCAUGUAGCCCUAUCCCUUUCACCUGCGGCAGGACGUGUAAGUCACAUGGUAGGGACUGUGUGUGUGUGUGUGUGUGUAGUAUGGAAAGCAAAGCUGGUAAGUACUGCAUAUACAGAAGACUCACAGGCACACUUGAGUGUAUUCAUCAUAUCAAACAGGAGGCAAGAGGUGGUUGAGUUCAGUGUCUCAGACACACACACACACCCACACACACACACACACAGGCCUAUGCAUAAUAACAAACUUGUUAGGCAAGUACAACUUGUACUAUUACCUGGUCUUUAAGCUAAUUAUGAAAUAAACUAAUAAUUUAUACACAGUUAUGUAUACAACAUGUCUAUGAACUUGCAAAACCAUCAAUAAAGUAUAAUGGAAAUAA